GAUUUGUUUUCAUACAGAUUAGCUGCAGCCAGAUCACAACAGUCCAACCCCCUGUGGGCGAGUUGAAAACAUGCGGAAGUAGCUCCUACUACUGGCUGUAGUCGAUUGCCUCUGG